AAAAAAAAAAAAAGAGGAACAGGAACGAACUAAACCCUCUAAAAACGCAAAUAAAAAAGUACAGUUCCAGGAUGUGCUGAAAGAAAUGCACAAGAAGAGAAACAUGGAGAAAAACAAUCAAACAGCAAGCAGAAGCUCUUCUGAAGUUGAGCCCUCGAGCAACAACCUGCAGCAUUCUUCUGAUGACAUCUAUCAAAAUGUCUAAGCUUCAUUCAAGGAAUUGAUGAAUUCAGACCUCCAUCAUCUUGACGGAAAGGAAAUUGUAAAGCCAUUAAACACCAGCUGGAUGAUGCUGUUGAGUCUGAGGAAACAAGCAAGUCUGCAAAGGAUGCAAGUCAUUUGUGCUUCUAAUCUUUUCUCAUGAAAUGAGACAUAAAAACUACAAAACCAGCGUGGACCAGGCGACUAUUUCCUCUCUAAACGUCAAGGCUCUUACACAACCCGCCUCUCACAAAGCAUUCGAAGUUGUGUUGGUCUCCACCGCGCUUCCACAGCUUCCUUGUUGCUCAUAACAACUUUUUCCAAGGAUUUUAUUUUCAGGACUUUCUGCAACACAAAAGGGGGAUAAUUAGACAAUCCACAUUAGAGGAAUUACAUCUGAAUUUCACUUCUACAAAAAGCAAAAUGUUACACCUUUUAUUGCACGAAUCAUUAAUCACGACGAUUACUGGCAGUGAACUGACAUGAAAUGAUAAAGCCAUUUCUCAUUAAAGGGGUCAUGGCACUUUUUUGAUAGCGCUUAAUGUUUGUUACAUUAUUGACCAAGAAUUUCUUUAAAACAUUCUUAAAAUCUAAUCAAAAACAUAAAUGUACCACGGAUAGAUUUUUUUUACCAUUUUUAAUUAGAAACAACACAUUUAUAGAAUCUGAUACCAAAACAUAGAACAAGAUACAGCACAUGUCUGUAUGUCAAAUACAGCUUAUGUUAUCAUAGGAAAAGAGAGGGCCUUGUUUCUCUUUAGAGAAAUCACAGUAAACUUAUUAGAAAUUCACAUUAAGGCAGUGUUUAGCAUUCUGAGCCAGUUGUGAAGCAUAUCCCAUCCCCUAAAUCUCAAUACAUUUUACAUUAUAAUGUCCAUUCAUACACUGGAUUAUAAUCCUUAGAUUAGUUUUCACCAUUUACAGCCUUUAUUCAAAGUCUGCAUAAACUGCCCCGUUUGGGCUUCUCUCUACUGUAAACUAUCAAAUACAGGUGAUGCGAGCCACUUGAAUCAUGUUUUGUUUUUUUAAUCUG
ensembl:lncRNA